rnacentral:rRNA from 1 species
CAAACCGAGAAGCUUGCUUCUCGGGGUUGUAGGACUGGACAUUGGAGUUACCAAAGUUCGACGUAGUCGAAGUCAGCUGGAAAGCUGCGCCAUAGAAGGUGAAAGCCCUGUAAACGAAACGGCGGACUCUCCGUCCAGGAUCCUGAGUACGGCGGAACACGUGAAAUUCCGUCGGAAUCCGGGAGGACCAUCUCCCAAGGCUAAAUACUCCCUAGUGACCGAUAGUGAACCAGUACCGUGAGGGAAAGGUGAAAAGCACCCC